rnacentral:rRNA from 1 species
AUACGGAGGGUGCGAGCGUUAAUCGGAAUUACUGGGCGUAAAGCGUACGUAGGCGGUUGGUUAAGUUAGAUGUGAAAGCCCCGGGCUUAACCUGGGAACUGCAUUUAAAACUGGCGAACUAGAGUUGAGUAGAGGGGAGUGGAAUUUCAGGUGUAGCGGUGAAAUGCGUAGAGAUCCGAAGGAACACCAGUGGCGAAGGCGACUCCCUGGACUCGAACUGACGCUGAGGUACGAAAGCGUGGGUAGCAAACGGGAUUAGAAACCCCAGUAGUCC